rnacentral:rRNA from 1 species
AAUAUUUGACCAUUGGCGAAAGCCUGAUCCAGCCAAGCCGCGUUCAGGGUUUCGGUCCUAUGGAUUGUAAACUGCUUUUGUACCGGAAGAAAAAACGCCACGUGUAGAUUCUUGACCGUACUGUAAUAAUAAGGAUCGGCUACCUCCGACCCAGUAGCCUCGGUAAUACGGAGGAUCCAAGCGUUAUCCGGAAUCAUUGGGUUUAAAGGGUCCGUAGGCGGCCUUAUAAGUCAGCGGUGAAAGUUUUUGGCUUAACCAAAAAAUUGCCGUUGAUACUGUAGGGCUUGAAUUUUUGUGAAGUGACUAGAAUAUGUAGUGUAGCGGUGAAAUGCUUAGAUAUUACAUGGAAUACCAAUUGCGAAGGCAGGUUACUAACAAACGAUUGACGCUGAUGGACGAAAGCGUGGGUAGCGAACA